AUGGGUAAAGAUGCUGGUUCAGCCCAUAACUUCUCAGUUUGUUGUUAUGAUAAUUUCAAAAACAGCAUGACUCAUAUUGAUAAGGUGUAUGGGAAAGCAACCGCAAAAACAAUUUUAGAUGCAAGGCUAAGGCUCAAAGUUACAAUUGAUUCCAUCCGGUGGUUAACAUUCCAGGCUUGUGCUUUUAGAGGGCAUGCUGAAUCUCCGGGAUCCAUUAACCGGGGUAAUUUCCUAGAACUCGUAAAACUUUUGGCUUCUUAUAACAAGGAGGUGAAAGAUGUUGUCUUGGAAAAUGCUCCUGGAAACGCAAAGUACACAUCUUAUCAGGUUCAAGAGGAAAUUCUUGCUAUACUUUCUCGAAAGGUGCAAAGAACAAUUAGAGAAGAAAUUGGUGAUAGCAAAUUUUGUAUAAUGGUUGACGAAGCUCGCGAUGAAUCCAAGAAAGAGCAAAUGGCGUUGGUCCUCCGGUUUCCUGACACUGAAGGUACAUACAGGAGCGUUUUGUUGAUGUCAUUCAUGUGA
rnacentral:rRNA from 1 species